rnacentral:tRNA from 1 species
GCAGUGGUGGUUUAGUGGUAGAAUUCUUGCCUUCCAUGCAGGAGACGCAGGCUCAAUUCCCAGUCAGUGCA